rnacentral:rRNA from 1 species
AGAGUUUGAUCCUGGCUCAGGAUAAACGCUGGCGGCGCACAUAAGACAUGCAAGUCGAACGGAAGUCGUUACGAAAUGGAAUGAAGAUUUAUCUGAUUGAAGUUUUGUAACAAUGGCUUUAGUGGCGGACUGGUGAGUAACACGUAAGCAAUCUACCUAUUAGAGGGGAAUAACAAUGAGAAACCAUUGCUAAUACCGCAUAAGCUUGUAGUACCGCAUGGUACAGCAAGAAAAGGAGCAAUCCGCUAAUAGAUGAGCUUGCGGCUGAUUAGCUAGUUGGUGUGGUAACGGCAUACCAAGGCAACGAUCAGUAGCCGGGCUGAGAGGCUCUUCGGCCACAUUGGGACUGAGAUACGGCCCAGACUCCUACGGGAGGCAGCAGUCGGGAAUUUUGCGCAAUGGAGGAAACUCUGACGCAGUGACGCCGCGUAUAGGAAGAAGGUUUUCGGAUUGUAAACUAUUUUAGUCAGGGAAGAAAAAUGACAGUACCUGAAGAAUAAGCUCCGGCUAACUACGUGCCAGCAGCCGCGGUAAUACGUAGGGAGCAAGCGUUAUCCGGAUUUAUUGGGUGUAA